rnacentral:rRNA from 1 species
UGGGGAAUCUUGCACAAUGGAGGAAACUCUGAUGCAGCGACGCCGCGUGAGCGAUGAAGCCCUUCGGGGUGUAAAGCUCUUUCGGCAGGAACGAUAAUGACGGUACCUGCAGAAGAAGCUGCGGCUAACUACGUGCCAGCAGCCGCGGUAAUACGUAGGCAGCAAGCGUUGUUCGGAAUUACUGGGCGUAAAGAGUGUGUAGGCGGUUCUCUAAGUUCCGUGUGAAAUCUCCCGGCUCAACUGGGAGGGUGCGCGGGAAACUGGAGGGCUCGAGUAUGGGAGAGGAAAGCGGAAUUCCUGGUGUAGCGGUGAAAUGCGUAGAUAUCAGGAGGAACACCUGCGGUGUAGACAGCUUUCUGGACCAUCACUGACGCUGAGACACGAAAGCGUGGGUAGCAAACAG